rnacentral:sRNA from 1 species
GCGGCCCGGAAGCAGCCCGAGUAGAAGAGCGGUUGUUUCAGCUUUGGCCGAGGUUCGGGCUCGAACUUGGAAAAUGCUACUGGCGCCUCAGGGAACGUCCUCCUCAAAGAAAAGGAUGGGGCUGAAUCGCUGGAAACGGUUCACAAGGAAGCCGAGUCCCAAGCUCAGGAGCUGGUUAAUGACUGGUUAGAUACCAAACUUAAGCAAGAAUUAGCAAGUGAGGAAGAAGGUGAUGCUAAAAACACUGUGUCAAGUGUCACUAUUAUGCCGGAAGCCAAUGGCCAUUUGAAAUAUGACAAGUUUGAUGAUUUAUGUGGCUAUUUGGAGGAAGAAGAGGAAAGUACCACCGUUCAAAAAUUUAUAGACCAUCUGCUCCAUAAAAAUGUGGUAGAUUCUGCAAUGAUGGAAGAUCUUGGAAGGAAGGAAAACCAAGACAAGAAGCAGCAGAAGGAUCCUCGUCUUACCAUGGAGAUGAGACAUAAGCAGGUAAAAGAAAAUCGCUUAAGACGUGAGAAAGAACUGGAGUACCAGAGAAUAGAAAAGACCCUGAAAAAAUCAGCCUUCUUGGAGGCUCAGUGUCUGGUGCAAGAAGAGAAGAAAAGGAAGGCUCUGGAGGCCAAGAAAGAGGAAGAGGAGAUUCAAAGGGAGAUGGUGAAGCUGCGGAGGGAGAUAAUUGAGAGGAGACGCACUGUGAAAGAAGCAUGGAAAAUAGAGAAGAAAAGGCAAGAAGAGAAUUCUCAAAAUAGUUCAGAAAAAGUCAUGUUUCAAAGUACUCACAUUCUUCUGGAUGAGGAAAAAAUGGCGAAAGAAAGAAAAAGGAAAUUGAAAGAAGUAUUAAUCCAAACUUUCGAAGAAAAUCAACAGUGUCAAAAACGGUAUUUCGCUGCCUGGCACAAGCUGAUUCUUGAUCAUAGGAUUAAGCUGGGGAAAGCUGGGACCCUGUCUGACUGGAAGAUUCAGCUGAAGGUCCUGUGGGCCUGGAGAGACUACACAAGAUUCCAGAAGUUGGAGCGGGAGACUCAAGCCUUGGAAAAUGAUCUUAGGGAAGAAAACAGAAAACAACAACUGGCCACUGAGUAUAACCGGAAACAAGUUCUCCGACACUGCUUUACAGAAUGGCAGCAUUGGCAUGGCACCGAGCUCCUGAAGAGAGAGCUGGCUCUCACAAAAGAGGAAACUAGGAAGAAGAUGGAUGCACUGCUGCAGGCAGCAUCACUGGGGAAACUCAGUGCCAAUGGGUCAUCAGGCUUCAGUCUACCCGAGGAGGCAACAGCCGUGGUGGGUCCACCAGUAAAAAAUGGACAGGAGACUGCUGUGCCUCCUUUGUGGGAAAAGCCUCCCUUGGGAAGCAGUGGUUGUAUGCUCAGUCCUCCCCUAGGAAGAACAACAACAGGCAACUUGCAGGGUUCCCUUCAGAAUGUCUCUUUGAGUGCACCUGGCAAUAAGCAGCACAAGACCCUGGGUGCUGAACCCUCUCAACAGCCUGGCAGCAACGAGACACUCGGAACUACCAGCCAGAAAGCAGAACCGCUUUGCUUGGGUCAUUUCCACAACCGCCAUGUCUUCCAGCAACAGCUGAUUGAGAAGCAAAAGAGGAAACUUCAGGAACAGCAGAAAACAAUUCUCGAGCUGAAGAAAAACCAGCAGCUGGCAGAGGCUCAGUGGGCAGCAGAGCAUGCCUCAGCAGUCACAGACGCACAGAGCCACCUGCUGUCAAAGCCCAGAGAAAAGGAACCAAAAACCUGCCAGAUGCUUGUAAAUUCACCUGUUGCUUCCCCUGGGACUGAAGGCAGAAGUGACUCCCGUAAUUCUCUUUCUGGACUCAAAAGAAAACCAAAGCAAUUGAUGACACUGCAUCCCAUACUAAAAGGCAGGGCUGUCUUGGUGGUGGCCUUGGUGGUUGUUAUCGUCUCUCCUAGAGUAGAAUGUGUACACUGGGACUGAAUUCUGGCAACUCUUGAGGUUUUGAGACUUGGCAGAACCUGACAUCAAAAAUCUCAGAACGGUAGACAUGUGAGGAGUGGAGUACACCAGAGAGCCCCACUACUUUUUUCCUGCCCCUUUUGCCAACCUUUUUGGCAUUCCCAGCCAACACACACACAAAAAAACAUAGCUGAAAGGUGUAUCAUUUUUCUGUAAUUUGAGAUUUGGAUUGUGAAAAAAAAAGGGAUAACUACACAAAUGAGAAAACUCUGAGGAACUGCCAAGGUCAAACACUGAUAAAGGUCACCUGUCAUCGUACUUUGUUAAUGUUCAAAUUUGAUCAGUUUACAGUAAUCCAAGAUAAGUUAUUAUAUCAUUUUAUAAUGUUAUAACUUGUUGAUGGGAUUUUAGUAAUAAAACCUACAAACCAGAUAUCUUAAUUUGAUAACAUUUUUGAUGCACCUAGAAACACUUAUUUAUUUAUUUGGUACAGGCAGGGUCUUCCUGUGUUGCCCAGGC